GACGAACGCUGGCGGCGUGCCUAAUACAUGCAAGUCGAGCGGACCGGAUCGGGGCUUGCCUUGAUUCGGUCAGCGGCGGACGGGUGAGUAACACGUGGGCAACCUGCCCGCAAGACCGGGAUAACUCCGGGACACCGGCGCUAAUACCGGAUAACACCGAACACCGCAUGGUCUUCGGUUGAAAGGCGGCCUUUGGGCUGUGACUUGCGGAUGGUCACGCGGCGGAUUGGCUAGUUGGUGAGGUAACGCCUCGCCAAGGCGGCGUUGCGUAGCCGGACGGAUUGGGUGGCCGGCCGCACUGAGAGUGAGACAGGCCCCAGACGGACUGGGGAGGCAGCAGUAGGGAAUCGGGCGCAAGGGGCGAGAGCCUGACGGAGAGGGGCGGCGGGAGGGAGGAGGGCCGUCGGGUCGUAGAGGUCGGUUGUGGGGGAGGAAGGAGCGUCGUCCGAAGAGGGCGGGGCAGUGACGGUACCGCACGAGAAAGCCCCGGCUAACUACGUG
rnacentral:rRNA from 1 species